rnacentral:rRNA from 1 species
GAGGAAUUUUGCGCAAUGGGGGAAACCCUGACGCAGCAACGCCGCGUGAGUGAUGAAGGCUUUCGGGUCGUAAAGCUCUGUCAAGUGGGAAGAACCCGCGCCGCACAAAUAGUGUGGUGCGCUGACGGUACCA